UUUUGAUCGAAUUUCCUUUAUUGUAUAAACUUAUAGUAUCAGAUUGCGCAUUUUGUUACGCAGUGAAUGACUUUCAGAAAUUGUUUUGCAGAAUUAACUUUAGUUUAUGAAAUAGAAGAUGUAAAACAUUUGAAAGUCCAAAGUACAGUUGAUAUCCGUCACUCCUGGAUGUUAAUAGAACGAAGCAUCUUGCAAAUGAAUUACUGGCGCAAAAUUAACAAGGCAUAAAUCAAAUACUCCGAAGAGUUAAUUGAAAAACGUGAAUUGUUUUAAAAAUUGCAAAAUUGAAUUAGAAGUGAAAAGGUUGGAUUAAAUUUACGAUCGAGGCUGAAAGGAGCUGAUAAUGAAAUUUGUUUACAUUUUUACUUUACUCAUGAUUACUAUGAUUAAUGUUGAAGCGCAGGUACCAUACGACUAUAUACCUAUAGGUAGAGCAGCCAGACGGGAUUUGCCAAAACCUCAUCCGUCGGACGUGAAUAUGGUGUAUGAAAAGUUAUUCCCUUCUCGUCGCAGAUAUCUUGAUUAGAUGACUUACCAAAAUC